rnacentral:rRNA from 1 species
GACGAACGCUGGCGGCGUGCUUAACACAUGCAAGUCGAACGGUGAAGCGCUUGCCUUUUUGGUGGGUGUGGAUGAGUGGCGAACGGGUGAGUAACACGUGAGUAACCUGCCCCCUUCUUCUGGAUAACCUCAUGAAAGUGGGGCUAAUACGGGGUAUUCCGGGUCUGUCGCAUGGCGGGUUUGGGAAAGAUUGCGCCUUUGGGUGUUUUCGGUGGGGGAUGGGCUCGCGGCCUAUCAGCUUGUUGGUGGGGUGAUGGCCUACCAAGGCGGUGACGGGUAGCCGGCCUGAGAGGGUGGACGGCCACACUGGGACUGAGACACGGCCCAGACUCCUGCGGGAGGCAGCAGUGGGGAAUAUUGCACAAUGGGCGCAAGCCUGAUGCAGCGACGCCGCGUGAGGGAUGGAGGCCUUCGGGUUGUGAACCUCUUUCGCCAGUGAAGCAGGCCUGCUCCUGUGUGGGUGGGUUGACGGUAGCUGGAUAAGAAGCGCCGGCUAACUACGUG